CCUACGGGUGGCAGCAGUGGGGAAUAUUGGACAAUGGGGGCAACCCUGAUCCAGCCAUGCCGCGUGUGUGAAGAAGGCCCUCGGGUUGUAAAGCACUUUCAGUGAGGAAGAACGCCUGGUGGUUAAUACCCAUCAGGAAAGACAUCACUCACAGAAGAAGCACCGGCUAACUCCGUGCCAGCAGCCGCGGUAAUACGGAGGGUGCGAGCGUUAAUCGGAAUUACUGGGCGUAAAGCGCGCGUAGGUGGCUUGAUAAGCCGGUUGUGAAAGCCCCAGGCUCAACCUGGGAACGGCAUCCGGAACUGUCAAGCUAGAGUGCAGGAGAGGAAGGUAGAAUUCCCGGUGUAGCGGUGAAAUGCGUAGAGAUCGGGAGGAAUACCAGUGGCGAAGGCGGCCUUCUGGACUGACACUGACACUGAGGUGCGAAAGCGUGGGUAGCAAACAGGAUUAGAUACCCCGGUAGUC
rnacentral:rRNA from 1 species